rnacentral:rRNA from 1 species
GACGAACGCUGGCGGCGUGCCUAACACAUGUAAGUCGCACGGGACUGGAGGGCAACUUCCAGUUCAGUGGCAGACGGGUGCGUAACACGUGAGGAACUUGUCCAACGGCGGGGGAUAGCCGGCCCAACGGCCGGGUAAUACCGCAUACGAUCGUUCGGGGGCGAUCCCUGAACGAGGAAAGCAGCCGCAAGGUUGCGCCGAUGGAGAGUCUCGCGGCCUAUCAGCUAGUUGGCGGGGUAAGUGGCCCACCAAGGCGACGACGGGUAGCUGGUCUGAGAGGAUGGCCAGCCACAUUGGGACUGAGACACGGCCCAGACUCCUACGGGAGGCAGCAGUGGGGAAUCUUGCGCAAUGGCCGCAAGGCUGACGCAGCGACGCCGCGUGU